rnacentral:rRNA from 1 species
UAGGGAAUCUUCCACAAUGGACGCAAGUCUGAUGGAGCAACGCCGCGUGAGUGAAGAAGGUUUUCGGACCGUAAAGCUCUGUUGUUGGUGAAGAAGGAUAGAGGUAGUAACUGGCCUUUAUUUGACGGUAAUCAACCAGAAAGUCACGGCUAACUACGUGCCAGCAGCCGCGGUAAUACGUAGGCGGCAAGCGUUGUCCGGAUUUAUUGGGCGUAAAGCGAGCGCAGGCGGAAGAAUAAGUCUGAUGUGAAAGCCCUCGGCUUAACCGAGGAAUUGCAUCGGAAAC